rnacentral:rRNA from 1 species
AACGAACGCUGGCGGCAUGCCUAACACAUGCCAGUCGAACGAGACCUCCGGGUCUUGUGGCGCACGGGUGCGUAACGCGUGGGAACCUGCCCUUAGGUUCGGCAUCCCUCCCCUACUGGGGUGCUAAUACCGGAUAAUGUCUUCGCACCAAAGAUUUAUCGCCUUUGGAUGUGCCCGCGUUGGAUUAGCUAGUUGGUAGGGUAUAAGCCUACCAAGGCGACGAUCCCUAGCUGGUCUGAGAGGAUGAUCAGCCACACUGGGACUGAGACACGGCCCAGACUCCUACGGGAGGAAGCAGUGGGGAAUAUUGGACAAGGGGCGAAAGCCUGAUCCAGCAAUGCCGCGUGAGUGAUGAAGGCCUUAGGGUUGUAAAGCUCUUUUACCCGGGAUGAUAAUGACAGUACCGGGAGAAUAAGCGCCGGCUAACUCCGUG